rnacentral:rRNA from 1 species
GCUUAACACAUGCAAGUCGAGGGGCAGCAUGGUCUUAGCUUGCUAAGGCCGAUGGCGACCGGCGCACGGGUGAGUAACACGUAUCCAACCUGCCGUCUACUCUUGGACAGCCUUCUGAAAGGAAGAUUAAUACAAGAUGGCAUCAUGAGUCCGCAUGUUCACAUGAUUAAAGGUAUUCCGGUAGACGAUGGGGAUGCGUUCCAUUAGAUAGUAGGCGGGGUAACGGCCCACCUAGUCUUCGAUGGAUAGGGGUUCUGAGAGGAAGGUCCCCCACAUUGGAACUGAGACACGGUCCAAACUCCUACGGGAGGCAGCAGUGAGGAAUAUUGGUCAAUGGGCGAGAGCCUGAACCAGCCAAGUAGCGUGAAGGAUGACUGCCCUAUGGGUUGUAAACUUCUUUUAUAAAGGAAUAAAGUCGGGUAUGGAUACCCGUUUGCAUGUACUUUAUGAAUAAGGAUCGGCUAACUCCGUGCCAGCAGCCGCGGUAAUACGGAGGAUCCGAGCGUUAUCCGGAUUUAUUGGGUUUAAAGGGAGCGUAGAUGGAUGUUUAAGUCAGUUGUGAAAGUUUGCGGCUCAACCGUAAAAUUGCAGUUGAUACUGGAUAUCUUGAGUGCAGUUGAGGCAGGCGGAAUUCGUGGUGUAGCGGUGAAAUGCUUAGAUAUCACGAAGAACUCCGAUUGCGAAGGCAGCCUGCUAAGCUGCAACUGACAUUGAGGCUCGAAUGUGUGAGUAUCAAACAGGAUUAGAUACCUUGGUAGUCCACACGGUAAACGAUGAAUACUCGCUGUUUGCGAUAUACAG